rnacentral:rRNA from 1 species
AUUGAACGCUGGCGGCAUGCCUUACACAUGCAAGUCGAACGGCAGCAUGGGUGCUUGCACCUGAUGGCGAGUGGGGAACGGGUGAGUAAUGCAUCGGAACGUACCCGGAAGUGGGGGAUAACGUAGCGAAAGUUACGCUAAUACCGCAUAUUCUGUGAGCAGGAAAGUGGGGGAUCGCAAGACCUCGCGCUUCCGGAGCGGCCGAUGUCGGAUUAGCUAGUUGGCGGGGUAAAGGCCCACCAAGGAAACGAUCCGUAGCGGGUCUGAGAGGAUGAUCCGCAACACUGGGACUGAGACACGGCCCAGACUCCUACGGGAAGCAGCAGUGGGGAAUUUUGGACAAUGGGGGCAACCCUGAUCCAGCCAUGCCGCGUGAGUGAAGAAGGCCUUCGGGUUGUAAAGCUCUUUCGGCCGGGAAGAAAUCGCACAGGUUAAUACCUUGUGUGGAUGACGGUACCGGAAUAAGAAGCACCGGCUAACUACGUGCCAGCCGCCGCGGUAAAAC